GUAGGUGGCAAGCGUUGUCCGGAAUUAUUGGGCGUGAAGCGCGCGCAGGCGGUUCUUUAAGUCUGAUGUGAAAGCCCACGGCUCAACCGUGGAGGGUCAUUGGAAACUGGAGAACUUGAGUACAGAAGAGGAAAGCGGAAUUCCACGUGUAGCGGUGAAAUGCGUAGAGAUGUGGGGGAACACCAGUGGCGAAGGCGGCUUUCUGGUCUGUAACUGACGCUGAGGCGCGAAAGCGUGGGGAGCAAACAGGAUUAGAUACCCUGGUAGUCCACGCCGUAAACGAUGAGUGCUAAGUGUUAGGGGGUUUCCGCCCCCCUUAGUGCUGCAGCUAACGCAUUAAGCACUCCGCCUGGGAGUACGGCCGCAAGGCUG
rnacentral:rRNA from 1 species